rnacentral:rRNA from 1 species
GAUUCUGGCUCAGGAUGAACGCUAGCGACAGGCCUAACACAUGCAAGUCGAGGGGCAGCACAAGGAGCAAUCUGAGGUGGCGACCGGCGCACGGGUGAGUAACACGUAUGCAACCUGCCUGUAAGCGGGGAAUAACCCGUUGAAAGACGGACUAAUACCGCAUAAUACUAAAUUACUGCAUGGUAAUUUAUUUAAACAUUUAUGGCUUACAGAUGGGCAUGCGCAUGAUUAGCUAGUUGGAGAGGUAACGGCUCCCCAAGGCAACGAUCAUUAGGGGUUCUGAGAGGAAGGUCCCCCACACUGGUACUGAGACACGGACCAGACUCCUACGGGAGGCAGCAGUGAGGAAUAUUGGUCAAUGGACGCAAGUCUGAACCAGCCAAAGUCGCGUGAAGGAAGAAUGUCCUAUGGAUUGUAAACUUCUUUUGAAGGGGAAUAAAGUACGGUACGUGUACCGUUUUGUAUGUACCCUUCGAGUAAGGAUCGGCUAACUCCGUGCCAGCCGCUGC